AACGAACGCUGGCGGCAUGCCUAACACAUGCAAGUCGAACGAGACCUUCGGGUCUAGUGGCGCACGGGUGCGUAACGCGUGGGAACCUGCCCUUAGGUUCGGAAUAACUCCCCGAAAGGGGUGCUAAUACCGGAUAAUGUCUUCGGACCAAAGAUUUAUCGCCUUUGGAUGGGCCCGCGUUGGAUUAGCUAGUUGGUAGGGUAAAAGCCUACCAAGGCGACGAUCCAUAGCUGGUCUGAGAGGAGGAUCAGCCACACUGGGACUGAGACACGGCCCAGACUCCUACGGGAGGCAGCAGUGGGGAAUAUUGGACAAUGGGCGAAAGCCUGAUACAGCAAUGCCGCGUGAGUGAUGAAGGCCUUAGGGUUGUAAAGCUCUUUUACCCGGGAUGAUAAUGACAGUACCGGGAGAUUAAGCUCCGGCUAACUACGUG
rnacentral:rRNA from 1 species